GUGAGGAGAGAUCAGCUCCCAGAAUACAAGUGCACAAGAUGAGCCGGAAUAGGGAGGGUGUGGAAAAAGCUGACCUUGCUCCCCGUUUGAACGUCAGAGGAGCCAGGGCUGUGUGGGUCCACAGGCGACAGAGACAACACACACUCACGGAGGCGCCGUGCUUCCCAGAGGUGACACGUCAACGGGGGCUCAGUCCUACUCAGCCUUCCUGGGAGGUCAAGCACAUCCUGCGGCACCCAGCUUCAGCUCACUGAAUUCGUUCCAACGCCUUGCAGAAAGCAGCCUAACUCUUGCGUCCCAUCAUCCUUGGGGCCCUCAGGAAGGGGCCCCCUUGAGCCCCUGCCCUUCUGCCCAUGGGAGACUGUCAUCUUUUUCAAGUCUAGCAGAUGAAGACAAGAUUCAGUGAGAGUAGACCCUUCGGUUUUGUAUAUUCUAGCUGAGCCACAACCCAGCUUCAAGAAUGAGCUUGUCAAAUACGUCAGAUCUGGAGAGAUGACUCCUGCAGAGGACCAAAGUUGGGUUCCUGUACCCAUGUUGGGCAGCCCACAACUGCUUGCAACUCCAACUCCUGGGAAUCCAACACCCUCUUCUGGCCUCUUCAGACGCUGCACUCUUACAUACGGAUGUGGUGAUAUUUUGUUUGUGCUCUAACACAUAAAGUUUGCCUGAUGAUCAGAGGGCAGCGCUAGCCACUAGUUAGCCACAGAGACCAGGCCGGCAGUGGUGGCUCGCACCUUUAAUCCCAGCACUAGGGAGGUUGACAUAGGAAGUAGUAUGGCUGGGCAGAGAGAGAAAUAUAAGGUGGGAGGAGACAGGAACUCAGAGCUUUCAGUCUGAGGAUUCGGUAGCGGUGAACUAGUGGCUGGCUGCUCUGCUUCUCUGAUCUCUCAGCUUUCACCCCGUAAUGUCUGACUCCACGGUUUUUAUUGUUAGGGCCGAUAGAAUUCGUGCUAUAUAUAAAUACACACAUAUACAUGGAAUGAAAACUAAAAAUAAAGCCUUCAAAGUGUAA